GUGGAUUGAUCCGUCUCCCAGUCUGCUCAGACUUCUUCGUAUUUAAUAACUCUUUCUUCGCGUGAUUUUAUUUCGUAUCAUCUGAUCUGAUCUGCGGCGCUUCUGUUUUGUGCUUUGGUUUCGGUGUGGUUCCCCAACUGCCCUAGGGUUUGGAUAAAGAUGGUGUGAUUAUGGAUUAAUGGAUCUGUCCGAUGGUAUUGCAAUGUAAAGCGUGGAUCCUGUUACUUUCUGUGAUUGAUUGAUUGCUUAAUCAGAAACCAGUGAAAUGCACCAGUUUAUGCAUUCAUGUUAAUACAGCCUAUGAUUUGUUUUUCUUGUAAUUGGUGACAUCUUAUAAUUUCUGAUGCUAGCACAGGAGAACUGGAUUUAUUAUGGAGUUGUAGGACCUCUGCCGUUGGCAUAAUUUGUUUUUGCCAGGAGGGUCAUUCUUGUUUCAGUUGAUCGGUUAAUAUCAUGGGGCUGUUGAAAGGCCUCUCUUGAAUUUAUUGUCACACAACAAUAAGGUUGUUCUAUGAUAUACCGAUACAUGUUGAAAUUGAUCAUGCUAUCCAAUCUAUGGUUCAGUUACCUACACUAUUAGGAACUCUGUCUAGUUUUGCUGGGUCAUUGAUUGAUCUUUGUUUUGCUACACUCACAUCCCAGUGCUUGCCUUUUUCACAGUAAGUACUUUAGUGUAACCCUAUUAGUUCAAUACGUUGUCAUGCCUGCUUUAAAUCUUACUUGGGAUGGUAAGGUUCUGGAUCAAAUUUAGGCAUAUGCAGAGCAGCAGAGCUAUAAUCUAAUAAUAUCUGCAAUAUAACAUUUCACAAGCCAGUAUUUUCAGUUUACCUGCAAUAUUACGAAUUUGUUAUGGUUUCACUGGAUCAACCUUAUUUUGUAAUCAGACGGUAAUGAUGUCACUUCAAUAGGCUGAGUUGUUCUAGUAACCAAUAUAUAUUUUAUGCUUAGAUUAGAAGAGUUCAGUCUACUCAGAAACUUACCAUCUGUUUAUACAUAUACCUUAUUUGUCACUGGAAGUUUCUGGACUCCAUAUUUGCCACUCAUUGUAUGAGUGGCACGUGCGGUGCCAUAAUGUCAUUGACACGUGUUGGAAUCGUGUAUAUUUCCAGUGGCAUAUAAGGAAUUAUAUUACCAGUUUGGUAUAUGUUCUCUCGGAGCUUGUCCAUGCUCAUCAAUAUUGCCAUGAUCCAUGAACCACCUCUCUAGCUUCUAACCAGAAUAUUCUGUGCAUAGGCUUUGAUUUGUAUAAGUUUGUGUUAUUGAUCCGUGGUAAUGAGACCUAUGUGCAUUUAUGUUGGCGCACUACUUAUCGAGGCAUACUACCUUUUGUUGUUAGUUUACACGAAGGGCAGCCGCUAAUGUUCUUGUACAUGCCAUUAGGUGUAGGCUUCAGUUGUUGAAGGGACCAAAAUCCGACUCUGUUGAAUGUAUAAUAUACAUCAGAUGCAAUGCAUGAAUCCUUAUGUUGAGAAUCUUUCUGCGCAGUUCAGAUUUUUUGCCUUGUUUUAUUUAGACAUGAAAAUAUAUGAUUGGUUGUGUUCCCCUGUGUUGAACAAAGUUCAAAGGAUGUAAAAAUGACUGUUCAUUUAUCCAACAUGUGAUUCUUGCUGCACCAACCACCUCUGUUCUUCAUUUGUAAGUUACAUUGCUGAAUCUCUGGUAGACCUUAUUAUAUCACUUGCUCCUCGCGGGGUCGCAGCUAGCCAUACAUCUUGGAAUAGAUAAGCUGCUUGUUUACCCUAGCUUUCUGUUCAAAGCCUCUGAUAUGUUUGGUAUAUAGACGAUCUGCAUUCAGAAUAUUCGCUGUGGAGUCACAUCCAUUGCUGUGUUUGCUGUUUAAUCGUUCAUCACUCUGCAAUUAUGAACUAUCUGCAUGUCUUAUCAGCGGCAUAAUGUGUGUCUUGUUUUUCUUCAUAUUCUAUCACAUUUCUCUGAUGGCAACUUGUGAGAGGACCAGACACAACCCUUCUCUGAACCAGAAUGAAGCUAUACUUGAUUUUCCACGUGCCCUUCUCAGAAAGUUCGGGGCUGUAUUUGAUGGAGGACGAGCUGGGCCGAGUGACAACCUAAACCUGUAUAUCAAAUUCCAUUUUGUUGUCUGGUUGGUUGUAUUUUUCUUUUGAGUGUACGGUGAAGGGUGACAUUGUGAUACGACAUGUUUUUUGCUGAAACGCUUUGGUGACGUCGGGCACGCUCAAGUUUCUAGUUAAUAUACUGGAAAAUGCAGUUGAUGUUUUCUAUUUUUUUUUUUGCGGGUGAUGUUUUCUAUGUUAAGAUGGCUAUGUUAUCAAAAGAUGCCAAUGCCCUCACCAGUGUUUCCUGACUGAAACCUACACACCUGAGCGAACAGAACGACUGGAUCUGCGUGGAGAUUGGCAUCUCAGAUGAAAGAUCACAACCAUACAUACUCCAUGCAAACUCUAACAAACUCCUGCAUAGCUGAUGUUCUGUGUUUUCCAUGUACUCUCUCUGUAAACUAAUAUAUAAGACUUUUUAGAUCACAGUUUAUGACCAUUCUAAUUCCGUAGGACUAAGAGAUAAAAGGACUGAUAAGGAAAUGAAAUGAGUCAGUAUUUCUAAACUUGCAACAAUUUUGUCUUCCCAUCUUCCGAGCCACAAAUAACAGCGCAAAAGAUUUGCAAAUAAAAUAAAAAUAAUAACAGCGCAAUGCUCACACUCACACGCGACAAUAUACCAUUGAAAAACUGUGCAAAUGAGCUUAAUGACGCCUGAAAAGAAGGAUUUAGAGUAAAUAUAUUUUUUUGAGCAAAUUUUAGAGCAAAUAUAUGUUUCUUAGAAAUAUGGUAGUUUUUUUUUAGACAAAGAAGAAGAAACUCUAAGGUAAGGCGUCCAAUGGGCCAGGAAACCAUCCCAACCGGGCUAACACGUACUGACGGCCUGGCCCAAAGCGACGCAGCCCUAGCACCACACUCCCUGCGCCGCCGCUCAUUAUAAGUAGCACCCCAAAACCCUAACCCGCACUCCUCAAUCGCGCCGCCGCUCGAGCCCCUCUCGCCCUUCGCGCCGCUGCUGCUGCAGGCAACCGCCGCCGCCGUCGCCGGAGCUAAACCCCUCGCCUGACGCCAUGGGGCGUAUGCACAGCCGCGGGUAACGCCUCGCAACCCGGUCUCCCGUAUCAUCGUUUCUUCGCUUCAGUGUUUUAUCUGGUCUAAUGGCGGCUCCGCGACUGUGUGUGGCAGGAAGGGUAUCUCGUCGUCGGCGCUGCCGUACAAGAGGACUCCCCCGAGCUGGGUCAAGACCGCCGUCGCUGAUGUGAGCCCCCUUCGGUUGCUCUCAGACCUGGCGGAUUUCUUCCGAUUGGAGUGAUUCUGAUGCUGUUGGGUCUUGCGCAGGUCGACGAGUUGAUCACGAAGGCUGCGAAGAAGGGUCAGAUGCCCUCGCAGAUCGGUGUUCUGCUCCGUGACCAGCACGGUAUCCCCCUCGUCAAGAGCGUUACCGGAAGCAAGAUCCUCCGCAUCCUCAAGGCUCAUGGUCAGAUCCGUCCCCUUUUAAACACCAUUCCCAUUUUUCUUGCGUUGUUUAUGCUUGUGCAAGUGUGUUGAUGUUUGAGGAUUUUGUGUGUAGGCCUGGCGCCGGAAAUCCCAGAGGAUCUGUACUUUUUGAUUAAGAAGGCUGUGGCCAUUAGGAAGCAUCUUGAGAGGAACAGGAAGGACAAGGACUCCAAAUUCAGGCUCAUUCUUGUUGAGAGCAGGAUCCACCGUCUUGCCCGUUACUACAAGCGCACCAAGAAGCUCCCGCCCACCUGGAAGUAGUAAGUUACUCUGCACCUUUACCUUUUACCUUAGCCAGGGAUACUGCGAUUGAACGUGAGAACUUGCCAGUGCUAAUCGGUUAUCUUAGUACCUAUUUUGCGUUAUACCAGUUGAUUCAGUCCUCAUGUUUACAAAUUACUAUGUAGAAAGCUUCAGGUUGAUCAGCUGUGCUACUCAAAUGCCAUUUUAUGUGGAAAGCUCCCUGUCCUGUUAUCCGUUAAAGUAACUAAGUAUGCGUAACAUGUGGAUGCUGUGUUCUGAGCUGCUGUAUGCAUAUCUGUAUGCUAUCUUGGUUUUUAUGGGUUUAGGUUUGUAAACGCAUGCCACUCAGUAGCUUAUUUAAUCAAGGAUGACAUCUGUUUGCUUCAAGUUUAGGUGAAAUUGACUAGUGCCAAUAGUAUGUGUAUAGACCUGAAACCAUCUGCCUCUUGUUUGGUUGGUCCAUACAAGAGUACGCAACAUGAAAAGAAGACUUGUUUUAUUUUUAUAAAAUGUAUUGUAGGAUUUAAGUUUUACUUGGUUGUGGUAUUAGUUGUUAGGUUAGGUAUGAUAGGCUGGUGUGUGCAACUUUUUUCUGUUAUUUCAUUAAUGGAGUUUUUGCUGUAAUUUUCAAGCAUUCCAACAAAUUCAUUUCAUCUUGGUGUGAUACUUCCAUACUCUAGUUAGUAGCAGAAGUGGAGAAUGGGCGUGUUUUAGUUUAACAAUCUCUAGCAUCGACUUUGUUGAACUUUAAAACCUGUUGAAGUAAUUCAUUCAUCUGUGCUUGCAUUUUUGCCAAGUCGCUUUGCGCUCUGGAUGGGUUGUGUGCCUUUUCAUACCUGCAGUUGUUACUAGAGUGUAAUCUGACAAUUUAUCCUUGAUUGUCUGCAGCGAGUCUACCACUGCCAGCACUCUGGUGGCUUAGGAGGGCUCUUCAUCUGGUGUGCUCUUACCGGCUUCAGGAUGGUCUUGUUCUACAUAUUAUCAAUUUCAUGUAACGCUUUUGAGUUUGGAGCGAUUUAGAUGAACAAGAGACCAAAUUUUCUAUGUUUACUUGGAGAAUCCCAUAAACCAUUUUUGGUUUUGCAAUUCUGUCUGGUUCUGUUUAGCGUCUAUCUACAAUUCAUCAGUUAAAAUUAGACAUUGUGAUAUUCGUGUUGUCUGAUCUGAGCGAGUGUAAUCGCUGCUUUCAGUGCACUCAAGCUCGGACAGUUUGACUAUAUGGUUAUUGCACAUCCACCCACAUCUUUUAUAUCCUUAUUGGGAUGUAAAAAACUGUCACUAAAAGCUUCCUGUCAGCGGAACCAACGUAUAAUGUGUGCUAUUUUGCAACCAGCCUAAUAUAACAAUUGUUUAUAUAUCAAUAUAGAUGCAAUCUUUUGGUCGCUAGACAAUGUUGUGACGAUUAUGCAGAAACAUACAGAUCUGGCCUUCCAGAUCGAUUGAGAGUAUAACUUAACUUAUGUGCUGGAGACACGUGACGAUCAAGAGGGAUGCCUCGGUUCGAGGAGAGAGGCGUCGGUUGCGGUAGCAACCUCACGAUCGUUCGGGCAAUUACAUAUAGUAAUUAAUUCUAACACUCCCCCUAAUCUACACUUGACCAUAUAGAGUCAUCUUCACGAUUAUCCGGGAAGUUCCCUCAAAAAGGUUUCUCCUCCGAAAGUUCUUCAUAACAUAUUUGAUGAGAUCCUGAAAUAUAAACUCACAAAGGGAUAGCAUAACGUGAUGUCUUUAAACAAGAAUAUCUCAAGAAGAGACUCCCCCUGAUUCUUGCAUAUCUGGAACAUAGAAGUUGGUAGAGACCUGGUGAACAAAUCAGUCGCAUGAUUUGACUUGCAAGAUAUGCAAUAUAGUGAUAUUGCUUAUUAUGUAACCUGUUUUCAUCCGGGCAACACAAGAAACAUUAUCGUUGAGAUAAUGGUUGAUGGAUGUAGUCAUGAGGUCUGUUUCGAAGACUCUUCAUGAGAAGGUUACCACACCUAGUAGGAACACUAAGUUUGUUUACGAUCUGACAUAGUGGGGAUCUGCUCGAUGUAUCCAAUGAUAUCGGAGGUCACAUUUCUGUGAAACUAAAAAACCAGGACAAGAUGUUUGAUGGCUUGGAGAUAUCGAAAGAUAUUCUCGAGUACCAACCAAUCGUGUUUGGUAGAUCCAAUGGUGAAAGUGCUAGUUAUCGACUAGAGGAGGGGGGGGGGGAUGAAUAGGCGAUUUUUAUGAAAGUCUUCAAAACAUGGGAGUUUCGAAGACAAAUAAUAGAAAUGAACCUAUUGACAUGCAGCGGAAGGUGGACUACACUAGACAAGCCAUAGUCAAGUAUUCAAUGAAGUGAAAGCACGAAGACUAUUAGCAGCUAAGUUGUAAGGAUUAGGAUGGAAGAUAGUAUGAAGCCAAACAAUGAUAGUCGUCACACAGUGAAGUCAAUCAGAUCAAGCAAGCAGGCAAUGACUUCAUGAAGACAAACAGUAAGUAAAGAGAGGGAGAAGAUAUAACCACUUGCUUGGUGAGGACAAAGAUUUGUUGGACCAGUUCCAGUUGCUGUGACAACUGUACGUCUGGUUAGGGAGGCUGAGAUUCAACUCAGAAGACCGCGUCUUCACCUUAUUCCCUUUGAGCUAAGGACAUUUAGUCCUCACCCAAUCACUCUGGUAAGUCUUCAAGGUAGACUUCCAAACCUUCACAGACUCCGUUCACCGGCAAUCCACAAUGACUCUUGGAUACUCAGAACGCGACGCCUAACCGGCUGGAGGAUUCACAGUCCUCAAGUGUAACAAGUCUUCAGAUCACGCGGACAGAAAGACUUCAGUGAUGCCAAACACUCUUUGGGCUCUGGGUGUUUUGGGCGUUGUCCUCGCAAGGAUCUCUCUCUCAAAGGCUUCGAGGUGGGUUGCUCUCAAACAAAAAAGCCGUGCACUAACUCUGAGCAGCCACCAAUUUAUGGUGUAGGGGGUGGGCUAUUUAUAGCCAGUAGGCAACCCGACCUGAUUUGUCCGAAAUGACCCUAGGUCACUAAGGAACUGACACAUGUCCAACGGUCAGAUUUCAAACACACGCGACAGCUUGAUUUGGGCUACCAGUAAAGCUGACUCAUCCAGCUCUGGAUAAGAUUUGCUCUCAUUGUCUUCGCUCGAAGACAUAGGAUUUGGUUGAGCAUCACUUCAGUCACUCUAAUUUUGUUCACUUGGACCCCACUUAACAGUACGGUGGUUCCUAUGACUCAACAAAGAAGAAAAGGAAACUACAAAACAACUAUGUCUUUGCACUCCAUAGUCUUCACAUGAAUGUCUUCUCGAGUCAUAAUCUUCGUUGUGAAUAUCUUCACAUACCACCAUUGUCUUCAAUGUCUUCUAACAUUUUUAGGGGUCAUCUCCGGUAGUUAAACCGAAUCAAUGAGGGACUACUACCUGUGUUAUCCUGUAAUUCUCACAAACACAUUAGUCCCUCAACCAGGUUUGUCGUCAAUACUCCAAAACCAACUAGGGGUGGCACUAGAUGCACUUACAAUCUCCCCCUUUUUGGUGAUUGAUGACAAACUAGUUGAAGUUUUCAAUGGGGAUAAAAGUAUUUGAAAUUGUAAGGGUAAAGAUAUUGUCUUCAUAAGUAGCAAAAGGCUCCCCCUAAAGAUGUGCAUAUAAGUAUUUUGCUUUUGAAUGCAAAUGCACAUGGCAGGUUGUACUUGUGGAGAUCCUCUUCAACUUAAGAAGACAAUUCAUCAUGCAUGAAAAGAUAUAACGAAGAUAAUGACAAGCAUAAUGAAAAAUGGACGUCUGCGAAAUGACUUCGUGCGGAAUUUAUCGUCGCACAUGCGGAAUUUAUCAUCGCAUCACAUAGUUGAUAGAAAAGGUAGCAGACGACCAUCAAGUUUAAGUGUUACAACUCAAAGAACCAAAUGUAUCAAAAGCGAGAGUUGUAAGCACUUGGCAAAAGGUAUAGCAACCACCCAUAAGGACCCGCUUGAAUACUAUCAACUCAUAUGCUUCUCCCCCUUUUGUCAGUAAGGACCAAAAAGGUUUGAAGACAUAGAGCUUCUACUUGUUCCCAUGAGGUGCAGGGUCGACGUUGGAGUCCGGUGGUGCAGAAGAACUUGGCGCAGUGUUGAUACGAGGCGAAGUUGUAGUUGGUGAAGUGGCAUCGUCUUCGUCAUCAAUGACUCUGGCAUUGACAGUUGCCGCUGAGGAGGAGUACUCAGAGUCUUCGAGUGAGGGAGUCCUACGCAAGACAGCGUUCCUGGGAGGAGUGGAAUCAAAUUUGAAUCUCUCUGUGAAGCCAUCUUGUUGAAGAUCAUCUUCAGAACUGAGUAAUGUCAGACUCUUCCACGACCGCCGACAGGUUUCAUGAGUGACAAAUGCAUUCUUGGUGGCUAGAUUGCGAAUGCGAUUAACAUCCACCAAGAGACUCUGCAUCUGACGCUUCAGCCAGUAAUGAUGCUUAUCCUGUUUCUGAUGUAGUGCCACAAGAAGCUCUCGGUCAUUGAGAACGCGAGAUCGCUUUCGAGGCCUUUGAGCAAUGGUGCUCUCAGUGGCUUCAGUAUGGGCACGAUGAGGUGCACGUGUAUUUCCAGCCAAAGGAUAAACACGAGUUGCAGCAAGAACUCCUUCAAUAGGUUGAGUGAAACUUUGACGAUCGAUGUUGUGAAGAUAAAUUGGCUCCUUGGCAGGCUCUGGGUUUAACAAUGAAAUCAUGCGCUACCAUACUCUUAUAACCUAAAUAAGCAGUGGGCAGCAAUUUUUCUUCUUUUUCAUAGUGCCUAAUAGGUAUGUUAUAAUGUGUAGCAAGGUGUGAAGCAUAAAUACCUCCAAAGAUGGGGCCCUUUGUACGGUUCAGACUUAACCGUUUAGCAAUAAUUCCGCCCAUACUAACAGUGUUAUCGCGGAAUAAACCAUGGAACAAAAUGAUAAUAUCAGGAACACUAAGGUUUCCACAGUUUCCACGACCAAUUAAGCAACGACUAGCAAAUAUGGCAGUAGCGUAAAACAGGAAAAUGUAUGCUAGUGAUUCUUGCAUCGGAAACCUUCCUGGUUUCCCCCACAAUAAUGGUGUCAAUAAACCCGUCCACAUCUUUACGAUGUGGUUCAUCUAAGGUACCCUCAAAGGGUAUUUUGCAAACCUUGUAAAAUUCAUCUAGUGGCAUCUUCUUAACAACAUCAUAUAAAUGAAACUGUACUGAAGGAGGUGAUUCCUUAGGAUAAUAGUAGAAGUUUUGCACAAAAGUAUUGGUGAGUAAGAGAUACUGUUGACGUUGGUCGCGGAGGAAGUCGGUGAGGCCAGCAUUCUCAGCCAAUGAAUAGAAAUCAUCAUAAAUCCCGGCUUCCCUCAAGAAAUCAUCGGAAGGCCAUUCACAUGGCUGGACCUCCGCGGUGCGAGGCAAAUUAUAUUUGGGCCUAUGUGCUUCUUCAUUUUGCUUUUCCUUCGAGCUUCGGCUCGAUGAGCCCCUCAAAAAUCUCUUCAUUAUUUUCUGAAAAAUUCUGAAAUUUUUAGUAACUUCAAACAAAGGUGAACCAAGCUCAACAAAAUUGAUAGCAACUACUCCUACAAGUGCCUAGAGCCUAUAACAUGCAUUAGAACUACUUGGAACCAUAUAAAUUUGACAUGCAAGCUCAAGAACAUGGUCACCUAGGCAGCACAAAUUUGCAAUGAAUAGAGCACUAGAACAAAAACUAAUUGGACCAAUGGAGGAGUCACAUAGCAAGGAACAAUCUCCCCAAGCAGUUUUGUGAGAGGUGCUUUGAGCAAGGAGAUCGAAAAUCGCAGCAAAAUGAGCUAGAACUCGUGCUUGAGCUGGAUAUUGGUGUUUGUGGGAGGAAGAAGGAGUGUGUGGGUGCAGUAAUAAGUGGAGGGGGGCCACCGUGGGCCCACGAGGCAGGGGGGCGCGCCCUCCACCCUCGUGGCCAGGUGCUUGCCCUCCUGCUGUGUUCUCAGUGCCAGAUAUUCUCAAAUAUUCCAGAAAAAAUCAUAUUCCAUUUUCAGGGCAUUUGGAGAACUUUUAUUUUUGGGGUAUUUUUAUAUUGCACGGAUAAAUCAGAAAACAGACAGAAAAAUACUAUUUUUACUUUAUUUCAACUAAAUAACAGAAAGUAGGAGGGUACAGAAGAUUGUGUCUUCUAGUUUCAUCCAUCUCAUGCUAUCAAACGGAAUCCACUAACAAGGUUGAUCAGGUCUUGUUAACAAACUCAUUCCGAAUAACAUGGAACCGGAGAAAUUUCGAAUAACACUAUGUUUCCUCAACGGGGAUAUGCACAUCCCCAAUAAUAAGAAUAUCAUAUUUCUUCUUGACAGUAGGAAGAGGAAAUUCAAAACCUCCAAAUAUAAUCGAUGGAAUUUUUCCAAUAGAAUUGAUACUAUGAACUUGAGGUUGUUUCCUCGGAAAGUGUACCGUAUGCUCAUUACCAUUAACAUGAAAAGUGACAUUGCCUUUGUUGCAAUCAAUAACAGCCCCUGCAGUAUUCAAAAAGGGUCUUCCAAGAAUAAUAGACAUACUAUCGUCCUCGGGAAUAUCAAGAAUAACAAAGUCCGUUAAAAUAGUAGCGUUUGCAACUACAACAGGCACAUCCUCACAAAUACCGACAGGUAUAGCAGUUGAUUUAUCAGCCGUUUGCAAAGAUAUUUCAGUAGGUGUCAACUUAUUCAAAUCAAGAUUACAUAUAAAGAGAGAGAGGCAUAACACUAACACCGGCUCCAAGAUCACAUAAAGCAGUUUUAACAUAGUUUCUUUUAAUGGAGCAUGGUAUAGUGGAUACUCCUGGAUCUCCAAGUUUCUUUGGUAUUCCACCCUUAAAAGUAUAAUUAGCAAGCAUGGUGGAAAUUUCAGCUUCCGGUAUCUUUCUUUUAUUAGUAACAAUAUCUUUCAUAUACUUAGCAUAAGGAUUCAUUUUGAGCAUAUCAGUCAAUCGCAUAUGCAAGAAGAUAGGUCUAAUCAUUUCAGCAAAGCGCUCAAAAUCCUCAUCAUCCUUUUUCUUGGAUGGUUUGGGAGGAAAAGGCAUGGGUUUUUGAACCCAUGGUUCUCUUUCUUUACCAUGGUUCCUAGCAACAAAGUCUCUCUUAUCAUAACGUUGAUUCUUUGAUUGUGGGUUAUCAAGAUCAACAACACGUUCAAUUUCUACAUCAUUGUCAUUACUAGGUUGAGCAUCAUCAUGAACAUCAUCAUUAGCAUUUUCAUUAGGUUCAUGUUCAUUACCAGAUUGUGUUUCAGCAUCAGAAAUAGAAAUAUCAUUUGGAUUCUCAGGUGGUUCAGCAAUAGGUUCACUAGAAACAUGCAAAGUCCUAUCAUUUUUCUUUUUCUUCUUUUUAGAAGGACUAGGUGCAUCAAUAUUAUUUCUCUGAGAAUCUUGCUCAAUUCUCUUAGGGUGGUCUUCAGGAUACAAAGGUUCCUGAGUCAUUCUACCAGUUCUAGUAGCCACUCUAACAACAUAAUCAUUUUUCUUACUAUUCAUUUCAUUGAGCAAAUCAUUUUGAGCUUUAAGUACUUGUUCUACUUGAGUGGUAACCAUAGAAGCAUGUUUACUAAUGAGUUUAAGUUCACCUUUAACUCUAGACAUAUAAUCACCCAAGUGUACAAGCGUAUCGGAAUUGUAUUUCAAUUGUCUACCAAAAUAAGCAUUGAAGUUUUCUUGUUUGACAAUAAAAUUAUCAAACUCUUCUAAGCAUUGUCUAGCAGACUUAUAGUGAGGAAUAUCACCUUCAUCAAAUCUAUAGAGAGAAUUUACCUUUACUACCUGUGUCGGGUUAUCAAGACCAUGAGGUUCUUCAAUAGGUAAUGGAUUAGGAUCAUAUAUUUCUUCAACAGGCGGUAAAUUAAGACCAUUUAUUUCUUCAAUAGGAGGUAAAUUCUUAACAUCUUCAGCUUUAAUACCCUUUUUCUUUCAUAGAUUUCUUUGCCUCUUGCAUAUCUUCAGGACUGAGAAAUAGAACACCUCUCUUCUUCGGAGUUGGUUUAGGAAUAGGCUCAGGAGCUGGCUCAGGAGCUAGCUCAAGAAGUGUCCAAUUAUUUUCAUUUGUCAACAUAUUAUUCAAUAGAAUUUCAGCUUCAUCCGGUGUUCUUUCCCUGAAAACAGAACCAGCACAACUAUCCAGGUAAUCUCUGGAAGCAUCGGUUAGUCCAUUAUAAAAGCAAGUAUUUCAUUUUUCUUAAGAGGAUGAUCAGGCAAAGCAUUAAGUAACUUGAGAAGCCUCCCCCAAGCUUGUGGGAGACUCUCUUCUUCAAUUUGCACAAAGUUGUAUAUUUCCCUUAAAGCAGCUUGUUUCUUAUGAGCAGGGAAAUAUUUAGCAGAGAAGUAAUAAAUCAUAUCCUGGGGACUACGCACACAAUCAGGAUCAAGAGAAUUAAACCAUAUCUUAGCAUCACCCUUUAAUGAGAACGGAAAUAUUUUAAGGAUAUAAAGAUAGCGAGAUCUCUCAUCAUUAGUGAACAGGGUGGCUAUAUCAUUUAAUUUAGUAAGAUGUGCCACAACAGUUUCAGAUUCAUAGCCAUGAAAAGGAUAAGAUUCAACCAAAGUAAUUAUAUCAGGAUCAACAGAGAAUUCAUAAUCCUUAUCAGUAACACAGAUAGGUGAAGUAGCAAAAGCAGGGUCAGGUUUCAUUCUAGCAUUAAGAGGGUGCUGCCUCCAUUUAGCUAAUAACCUCUUGAGUUCAUAUCUAUCUUUGCAAGCUAAAAUAGCUAAAGCAGCUUCUUUUUCAAAAACAUAACCCUCAGGAAUAACAGGCGAGUCUUCAUCAUCACUUUCAUCAAUAUAAUCAGUUUCAAUAAUUUCUUUCUCUCUAACCCUAGCAAUUUGUUCAUCAAGAAAUUCACUAAGUGGCACAGUAGUAUCACGCAUAGAAGUAGUUUCAUCAUAAGUAUCAUGCAUAGCAGAAGUGGCAUCAUCAAUAACAUGCGACAUAUCAGAACGAAUAGCAGAAGCAGGUUUAGGUGUCGCAAGCUUACUCAAAACAGAAGGUGAAUCAAGUGCAGAGCUAGAUGGCAGUUCCUUACCUCCCCUCGUAGUUGAGGGAUAAAUUGUUGUCUUAGCGUCUUUCAAGUUCUUCAUAGUGACCAGCAGAUAUAAAUCCCAAGUGACUCAAAGAAUAGAGCUAUGCUCCCCGGCAACGGCGCCAGAAAAUAGUCUUGAUAACCCACAAGUAUAGGGGAUCGCAACAGUUUUCGAGGGUAGAGUAUUCAACCCAAAUUUAUUGAUUCGACACAAGGAGAGCCAAAGAAUAUUCUCAAGUAUUAGCAGUUGAGUUGUCAAUUCAACCAGACCUGGAUAACUUAAUAUCUGCAACAAAGUAUUUAGUAGAAAAGUAGUAUGAUAGUAGUGGUAAUGGUAACAAAAGUAACGGUAGCAAAAGUAAUAUUUUUGGUGUUUUGUAGUGAUUGUAACAGUAGCAACGGAAAAGUAAAUAAGCGGAGAACAAUAUAGGAAAAGCUCGUAGGCAUUGGAUCGGUGAUGGAGAAUUAUGCCGGAUGCGGUUCAUCAUGUAACAAUCAUAACAUAGGGUGACACAGAAAUAGCUCCAAUUCAUCAAUGUAAUGUAGGCAUGUAUUCCGAAUAUAGUCAUACAUGCUUAUGGAAAAGAACUUGCAUGACAUCUUUUGUCCUACCCUCCCGUGGCAGCGGGGUCCUAAUGGAAACUAAGGGAUAUUAAGGCCUCCUUUUAAUAGAGUACCGGAACAAAGCAUUAGCACAUAGUGAAUACAUGAACUCCUCAAACUAUGGUCAUCACCGGGAGUGGUCCCGAUUAUUGUCACUUCGGGGUUGCCGGAUCAUAACACAUAGUAGGUGACUAUAGACUUGCAAGAUAGGAUCAAGAACUCACAUAUAUUCAUGAAAACAUAAUAGGUUCAGAUCUGAAAUCAUGGCACUCGGGCCCUAGUGACAAGCAUUAAGCAUAGCAAAGUCAUAGCAACAUCAAUCUUAGAACAUAGUGGAUACUAGGGAUCAAACCCUAACAAAACUAACUCGAUUACAUAAUAGAUCUCAUCCAACCCAUCACCGUCCAGCAAGCCUACGAUGGAAUUACUCACGCACGGCGGUGAGCAUCAUGAAAUUGGUGAUGGAGGAUGGUUGAUGAUGACGAUGGCGACGAAUCCCCCUCUCCGGAGCCCCGAACGGACUCUAGAUCAGCCCUCCCGAGAGGUUUUAGGGCUUGGCGGCUCCGUAUCGUAAAACGCGAUGAAUCCUUCUCUCUGAUUGUUUUCUCCCUGAAAGUGAAUAUAUGGAGUAGGAGUUGAGGUCGGUGGAGCGUCAGGGGGCCCACGAGGUAGGGGGCACGCCCUAGGGGGGUAGGCGCGCCCCCACCCUCGUGGGCAGGGUGUGGGCCCCCUGACGUGGAUUUUUCUUCCAGUAUUUCUCUUAUUUUCCAAAUAGAUGUUCUGUGGAGUUUCAGGUCAUUCCGAGAACUUUUGUUUCUGCACAUAAAUAACACCAUGGAAAGUCUGCUGAAAACAGCGUCAGUGCGGGUUAGUUCCAUUCAAAUCAUGCAAGUUAGAGUCCAAAACAAGGGCAAAAGUGUUUGGAAAAGUAGAUACGACGGAGACGUAUCAGCUGGCAUGGCAGGUUCGUUCAAGACCAUUCUUAACUCAACUAACGACAUCAUUACAAAGAACCCAAGGGUCCAUGAGAGAUUUUAUCUCCCCUAUCUUCUUCGCCACGACCCUGCUCGCUGGCGCGCGGACGACGGAAGCCUAGCCUUGUGCAAGUUGAUGCUGCUUGAUAAUGAUACAUGUGAUGUUAAGAUGCCAUCGCUUAAGGGUAAGGCCUGGGCAGGUGCAAAUGGAGAUUGGGUUGUUUAUAUUGGGUACAACUGCGAGUGGGAACUUGUGAAUGUGUACACUCGUCAGCGGAUUCCACUUCCAAAAAUCUCAGAUUGCCCUGAGGUUGAGCACACAGAUGAUAUACGCAUGUUCAAAUACGAUCAUGGUGAAUGUCGUCUACGGAAGAUAGCAAUCUGUCGAGUUCCCAACCGCUCUUGGAAUUACAGGAACUGUCAUGUUGUUGCUAUCUUCGACAAGCUUGUUGCCAUCCUUACUUCCACGCCUCGAUGGAUAUUGCUCAAAAAUCAAUUUAUGUACAUGGAUGAGUACUGUGAUGCAAUUCAAUACGAGCUUCUUGUGUUUGCUGCCACCACUCAUGGCACUGUUUUUGCAUGGAAUCCUUAUGGUUUAGGUACAUUUGUCUUCCACCGUAAUUAUAAUUGUUUCAUCCACAUGCAUGCGGGUUAGCUAGUUUCCCGUUACUAAUUAACCUUCUUGUGUUUCCAAGGUCCUGUGAACAUUCCACCACCUAUACUUGAAAUUUUUUAUAACCAAGGGGGAGAUGACGAUGGUGAUGAUCACGAGCAUGAGGACGAGUAGGACCUAUCACUACAAAAAAAA
rnacentral:lncRNA from 1 species